rnacentral:tRNA from 1 species
CAAAGCUGAAAUUCUUCUUAAACUAUUCCCUG